AAUGGGAUGCUAGACAUUGCUCAUGAGAAACCCGAGGAGGAUACUAAAAACACAGCUACAGUUUUCCUGAUGCCUGCCGCCAAGUUUCUUGAGGGCCCAGCUGUUGGGGGUCUGUGGUUGAGUUUUUAAGCAGAAUCAAGUUACAAAGCGCCACACAACUAUCCACAGGGGCUCUGAUAUGUGGACCUGAAUGGGACCUGAAGGAGCUUCAUUUAAAGCAGUGAGUAAGCCUCUCCCAGAUCAUCUUCCAGGU